rnacentral:lncRNA from 1 species
GAGCUUUGAAAGAGAAAAAAAAGCGUGACUUUUGAUGGUCCUCUCUUUUGAAAGAGGACGAAGCGGCUUCUUUGAAGGUACGCCUGCUUACUGGUAUCAUUUUAACGGAAAACCGUAUCGGUAUAUUGUAAAUUUUUAUCUUCAUCUUGUUCUUUGAAAACCCUCUUCCUCUUUCAUCUCCCUUCCUUUUUCAUCUUCUUGUUUUCUGGGAAACCAUGCAAGCUAUUUUAAACACCCUUGUCUUCACAAUCUUAACCUUAAUCUGGGUUUUCUUUUUCCUGAUUUUUGACCCAGGAAACGGUAAAGGUGAUAACUUUUUUGGUGGCUAUGAUUUUGGGUUCCUUUGUUGUCUAAGCACUGAAGCAUGCAAAUGCUUGUCUUUUGAUGUUAAUCUUGGUGUUAAGUAGUUUGCAGUUGUUAUACACAGUACUUUACUUGGCAAUGAGAGGCAACGAGCUUUAUCUGUUUUACCUGAGUUAAUCACCCAGGUAACCUUUUUCAAUUUCCUUUAAGCUUGUUUUGGUUGAUGUUUUUUUUUUCCUGAAACUCUUUAAUUAUUUUUUCUAGAUUUUAUGUGAUUAGUUGAGAGAUUGAUCUUUAAUCUAGACAAGAAUGCAUUUCUCUAUGUUGGAAAAAAGGAAAUUUCGGUCCUAUACUUGAAUAUACUGAUUAAACUGAAGCUACUAAUGGUUUAACAUUUGCUUUUAAUAGAAGAAGAUGAAUGAACACAGGUUAGGACCAUGAAUUGAUUUAGCAUAAAAUUUAGUGGGACUAAUAUGCAUAUGAUACAGUAGCACAAGUUCACAUAAAAUGUGUUUUGUAAUUGACAUUCAUAAAAAAGGAGAUACUUAUAGCUGUUUUGAGUAUGCCCAUUAGUAAACUUUUGAUUUCACUAUUUAGUGAUAGUCAACUUAAUGUACAAUUGUACAGUCAUACAAAUAAGUUAAUCUUGAAUUAAUGAUAUGAAUUUGUAUUUAUGAGAAAAUGGUGGACAUGUAUUUUGUCAUCUCUUGAUGUUGUCUUUGAUAUAGCUGACUUUGUGUUCAUAUUGAAUUUGAUUUGAAAGGCACUUUCUUUGAUAAAUUGUCCACUACAUUUUUUCUGCAUUUGUUUUGCUAUCUUUUACCAAGAAAUUUCUUAGUUUAGUUAUAAAAGUAACUAAUUCUAGAGAACCAAAUGAAGGGAACAUAUUGAUUAUCAUGCUAGGAUGUGAAUUUUGACUGGAACUUGAAAAAUGAAUGAUCUUGUGCUCAUGCAUAUAUGUUCUUAUUUGAAAUUGUCACUUGAUUCAUAAGUUUUUUAAUGUUAGAAAUAGGGAGAGAAGUUGAUAAAAUUGCCUAGUAAAGGUGUGAGUUCUUACUAUUUUUUUUCAUAAGCAUUUAUUGUUUAAAGUAAUCUAGGGUUAAUUUCGUUGCAAGUUUAUACUACUAUUAUGCGAGAAUGCUAGAGAAAUGAAAACAAGAUUGCUAAUUAAAUUUUAUGCUGAAUUUACGCAUAUAUAUUUCGUAUCAUUUUUAUCUUUAAUAUAUGUUAUAUUGGUGGUAGCUAAUAAUUUGGGACCAUGACUACACUCACUACAACGAAAUCUGCUUUUAGCAACUUUUUUUUAUAUAUUUCAUGGUAUUUAUAAACAUCACUAGAAGUUUCCGGCUUAAUGAAAAACUCUGCAAGAAACAAUGCCACUAAGAGCAUUGGUAAAUAUAGCAAUGUUUCAGUUGUAGAUGUUGCUAAAUGUUGGAGUUUAUUAUAACUAUGUCGGUGUUUUGAAAACAUCGUUUUAGUGUUUGCAUGUUGAAAUGGCACCCUUCCUUUUUUUCCUUUGGCCAUUUUUAGCUGCGUUUUUGUUUGAAAACACUAGUAAGUUAAUGAAUUUAGCGGUGACAUUUCUAUUAAUGAAAUGCAACUAAGUUUUUGAUGUUAGUGGUGAAUCUUCUUGAGAAAUGUCUCUAAAUCUCGUCUUGUAGUGGUUUUUCAAUUCAAGAGACAUAGUUAAUUCGCCAGAAACAUUUCAACAUUUUUGUUCAUUUUUAAUUAUUUUUGUAGGGUUUCUUAGAAUUUAGUGUUUCUAGCAUUUCAUUUACAAUUAGUAAUAAUUGAAAUAAUAUUAGAACACAAUUAAAAUAUAUAAAAUUUGGUAAAAAGACUUCUCUGGUCCGUCUCAAUUUCAGUAUUGAGCAUAUUGAUUCACUUAAAAAAAUCGAAGCAAUUUACUCCCUCUUAAUUUUAAAAGUGAGCAACCAAGUACUAUAAACCAUUGUGUUUACACAUUCUUUUGUUAAUUUAUUCUACUUUUAAUUGGUAUAAUAGCUUUCAAUGUUUACGCAUUCUUUCACCUUUUUCCUAAUUCUAAAAAAUUCAACAAAUUUAGCCUUCAACAUUUAUACAUUCUAUCAAUUUGAUCUUGAUUCUAGAAUUGUUGAUAUCCAAUGAGAGCUAAAUUUGUUGAAAUUAUUUUAGAAUUAGAACAAAAAUGACAAAAUUUGUAAACAUUGAAAGUUAAGAUUGUUAUUAUACCAAUCAAAACUAGGAUAGAUUGAUGGAAAUGUAAACGUUAUGAUUAAUUAUCCUUAGUUGAUCAAUAUAAAAUUGGCAAGGACUAAAUUGUUCCUUUUUAGAGGAACCAAUUGCUCAAUAUCGAAAUUGAGGUGACCGGAGAGGUUUUUUUACUUAUAAAGUUCAAAUUUUAUUACAAAUUCUAUUUAUAAAAAGGAGUCUUUGUCAACUCUUAGUUAAAAGUACCUAUGAUGAUGAAUAUGAGGACUGUUGUUGCAUAUAUCUCAUGAACAUCUGAAGUUACGAAUGAAGCCUGUGGUUGAAGUUAUUGAUAUCUUCUUCUGCCUUCUGUUUGUGCUUGAAUUUUGGCCACCUUUGCUUGUAUGUUUUUCAUAUAUUCUCUCAAUUGAACAUCUUCUUGAGUAUAAGACUGUUGUGAAGAAAUAUACCGCUGAAAACUACUUUCAAAGUAGCUAGAGGGAGUCGUACUUAUUAUAAUACCUUGAACUUAUCCAUUCCUUUUUAAUCUAGUAACUUUAGGCUUUGCUUGGUAGAGUCAAAUGAAAAUUGGGAAGAUGGAAAAUUGAAGGGUGGAAAAAUAGAAAGAUGGAAAAUGGAAAGUAAUUUUCUUUCCCUCCAUUACUUGGUAGAGUUGAAAAAUAAAAAGAAAGAAAAUAAAACAUUUGAAGAAUGCUUAAUUUGAACCAGCAUACACUUCUCUCCCAUUUUCUUUGAUCUCAACAUUCCAGUUUAGAAGACUUGGUUUUAAUACAUUAGGAUUGAAAAUUAUCACCCUCUUAUUUUCUUUCCUCUCACUUUUCUUCCCUACCAAGCACUCAAAAAAAAUUUUCUUUCCAUUUUCCCACUUUCUCCUAUCCCUCGACUUUUCCACCUAACCAAGCACACAUUUAGUGAACACUUCAUGUUUAGUUUCUCACAUAGUGUGUAAUCCCUCAUCCAGAGCAGUAGAUGUCGAAAAACACAUACUUGGAGUUAUAAUUAUAACGUAUUUCUUCAUUGACAAUUCUUGCAAAGCUUUUUGAACUUUUUGUGUGAAUAUACUUUUGUUGCUUUUUGAACUAUUUGAGUGAAUAUAUUUUUGUUGUUUUUACUAGAAAUCUUAAGGGUUCUUUUUCCUAAAUCAUAUGUUAUGAAGUUAUUGGGGAAAAUUUUGGAAAGCUCAUAACCAAAUGAUUAUAUUUUAACUGCAACAAAGAUUUUUUUUCCAGAAAUUCCAUAUUCAUUUGUUAUGAAGUCAUUGGAAAGCUUAUAAGCAUGUCUUGGAAGUAUUUUGAUCAGAAUAUCAAUCGUUUGGUCACAAGACCUAAUCUACCACGUGGUGUGGUUUAGUGGUAGUACAAUUUUUUAAUUUAUUGUUGGUAUUUAAAGAAAGUAGAGAUAAAGAAAUCAAUUAAUUUAAAUUAAUUUUGGAUUACUAAUAAUAUAAUUUUAUAUAACAUAUAAAUGCUUUUAAAAAAUUUACAAGAAGGAUACGAGAUUUCUAGUAGAAGAAAACAAAUGUAUAUUCACACAAGUGGUUAGAAAAGUUUUGCUAGAAUUGCCAAUGAAAAGUAUAUAUUUUCCUUGUAAGAUUGUAUUGAUAAAUAUGCUUAUAUUAAUUUAUAUUAUUUUGUAAGAAAUUGAGAAAGGUGAAAAAAAUUCAAAGGCUUGAGCUUUUUCAAAUUACUCAUACCAAGAAGGAUCUUUUGUAAACGAAGAGACACAAUAGAUUGCAGUAUGAGUUCUUCAUAACUAUUUAUAACUUUUAUUUAAUAAAUUAAUUAUGUGUUUUAUACCUUAAUGUUAUUUUCUUGAUUUGUAGGAGAAAGCAAAAUAAAAAAUUGUCAAAAGUAAUUAAGUCUAAGCUGUACUCUUUUUACAACAAAAAUCUACACAAAAAAUUGUUCAAUUGGGAUAGAGAAAAAUACAUGAAAAGUUGUCAUAGUAAGUAGUUCUCAGUGGUAUAUUUAUUGAACUCUUAUCGGUAGCAUUUUUCUUUUAAGCUGCUGAACUUUCAGCUGCAUUUCUAAACACUGUGAUAUAUAUAUAGGCUAAAACCAGGUUUUGCUGUAGUGUUUAUGUUGGAUUCAAACCAUAAAUGUUAUUUCUGUGGUCUCUCCUUGUGCAUUGAAAUAAAAAGAAUCCCAGUUGUCCUUGCAUAUUUGCUGAUAAUUUAUACUUUUGUCGGCUUCAAAUCAUUUGCUAAUUGUAAUUUCCAGUCUCUCCUCUCAACAAGGUACACUAGAUUCAAAUCAUUGAAACAUGACUUAUAUGGAAUAGCUUAUGAAAUCUAUAGCUUCUUUAAAAAUCUGUUGUAGACGUCUAGAAGAGAAAAGUGGGAUUCAAAAUGGCUAGCCUUUGAAGAAGGGCUAAGAAUGGAAUAUGGUAGAAAAUCAUAUAUUACUUGCGAGGAGAUCUACAAGCUCAACUCCCAAAAGAAAUUUUAGUGAAUCCAAAUUCUUUUAAGUAAGAAAAUUUUUUCCUUUAGAUGUUUAUAAUCUGUCAGAAUGAUUGGCAUUAAGAUGAGUUUUCCUUAAUUCGUAAUAUCUUACACGUAUAAAAAUAUUGGCUGUUCUUUGGUUUCAUGCUUCCAUACCCAUUAAUUUUUAUAUUAUGGUAAACAAGGGGGCAAGGACAAAUGGAAAAUCCAUGUACUCAAUGUUGUAAAGAUUGAGCUAGGCACUGUUAGGCAUUACACCUUAGGGCCAAGCAACAAAUUUGCUUUGAGCCCUUUCAAGAAGCGCACAUGUUGUUAUCAAGUGUAUGAUUAGUGUAUUUAAAUGGACUUUUCUGCAAGGCUAUAGGUAAAAAAGGGUCCUCUUGGUUGAAGUUCUACUUAAUUUCUUUUAUUUUUAUCUUUUCCAUAUGUUUUACUCAUUUGAGUAUCAAUAUAGACAUGGGAUCAUAAGAAAAUUGUGCAUAUAGGCUAAUAAAAGAAACCAAAAUUUCGCAUGUUUUGUAGAUACUGGUUACUGGAUCUCUCUUUAGAGUUAUUAUCAUAAUUACUUAUAACCUUAAAUUUCAUACAAUGCACACACACACACAACGUGUUGUGCCAUAUUUGACUCAGGCAGGUGCAUUUUUUGCUCCAUAUACCUUAAGUCUUGCAGCUAGAGUGUGCCUUGUGCCCUUGAGAAAAAUGUAUCUAAUGAUCUAGAGGCCGAAGAAAGAAAUGGAAGACUCAGCAUAAAUAAGUUGUUAAACAGUGAAAACUCGAAGGGGAGUAUCAUGUGUAUGUUUGUACAAUCACCUUUGCUUAUUUUGAUACAACUCGCUUGUUCAAGUCACCUGUGGCAGUUUUCUUUCUCAAAGUAGUGUCUCAUGAAGAGGUAGAGCUUAUUGUCAUUAACUUCAUUUUUUAAGUGUUGUAAAAAGUCAAACUUAACUCUUUUGAUUCAGAAGUAGAAUUUAUAUGAUGGCCAAUGCUAUUUUGCAAUAUCAUGCAUAAGGUUCUUAUGUUUCUGGGGAAAUGUGGUGCUUUCAAGCUUUUCAAAACAAGACAAUGACUGUGGUACUAGACAAGUAUGAGUUUACUGGUAAAACAGCUUGAAUUAUAUACAGGCUUGGUAAAGAUGCUUUCUGAUCUCAUUAUGAUUGGUGAAAACCUUUUAUUUGCUAAAAACAUCUUGAACAUAUCUUAUAAUCAAAAUAUGCAGAAUUCAGGUUUAUUUUCACACUUUAACUUCCAUAGGAUUAGAAGCACAAGACUGCUCUCUUGAUGUUCAAUACAGAGUACUACAAGUUCUAUUGUUCUCUUCGAUUAAAAAAAAGCGAGUAAAAGAGGCCAGAAAGCUGAAUAGUAUUUGGAAUCAUAUCUUGGUUAUGGUUUUGCUAAAGGGCAUUUGUAAUGGAACGGUUUUUGAGAAUUUUAUUGUUGCUGAAGUUUAUAGGACACAUUUUCAGUGAUAUUAAAGAUAGGGCAAUUGUGGACGUGGUGAUCCAUAAAUUCAGUACCAUGCCUAGAGCAUUUCACCAAGGGUUGGAAUGAGUUGGAUACAAGUAUACUCAAAAUUUUAAUUUGUUUUCAUAUGUGUGAAGGAUUUUUACUCUUAUACUUAGCCUUCGAAUAUGUAUCAAAGUCAGGUAUCCGCCAUCCAUGUAUGCUCGACAGAAAAUUACUUAUCUUUGUGGUUUUCAGGUUUAAAUUACUUGUCUACUGUGCAAGUAUUAUAGUGGACACUGUAAUGCCUGUUUCCAUGUAGUUACUUUGAAGCUGGAACAAAGGACAGUUCAUUCAUGGCAAUGGAAAGCUCAAUGAAGGAACCGACCAUUUCUAUCAGUUUGUACAUUCCGGAGAAAAGAUUUCGAUUUUUGGAUUAACAUUCAAGGGUAUUAACGUGGCUGUCAAAGCACAUGCUUGCUGUUUUACAUACUCGUCGCUAACCAGGAGAUCAAAGGUGCUGAACUGCUACAGCCACAACAUGACUGAUUGGUCCAACCCUUCUCGAAAAUAAACAGUGUCGGGUGUAAUAAUAUGGAAAGAAUUUUUGUUUGAAUUUUAAAUUAAUAUUAUUAAAAAAGACAAUUAUAAAUUUUGAAAUGAUUAGUCUUCAUCAAUCACUCGAAACAAUUUAAA